UCCCUCUCCUUUCCUCUCUCUGAAAUCAAUAAAGAUAUAUUUAAAAAUAUAUAUAUAUCCAGAAUGUGACUUCUUACUAUCUCUGCCACUGUUUGGUCUGAACCUCCAUCAUUUCUUACCUGAAUUAUUGCAAUAACCUUGGUUUCCUGCCUCACCUAAUCUCCUGCCAAUUCUCAGUACAGCAGCCAGAGUAAUUCUGUGAAAAUGUCAAACCAUGUCAUUCUCCUGCCCAAAAUCUUCCCAUAGAUCAAAGUAAAACUAAAGGUUUUACAAGCAAAAGAUCCUACCCCAGCUGACCUCCCAAAUACCUCUUUGACCUCAUCUCCUUUUAAUGUCUCCUCUGAUCAGUCUAUUCAAACUAUACUGAAUUUAAGAAAAGAGAAGGCACCCAUCUAAUUCAGGCCUUUGUAAUUGUAUUUCUUUCAGUCUGGAACACUCUUCCCUCAGAUAUCUGUAUGGCCACUCCCUCACUUUACUCGGGUCUUAAAUGUCAUCUUCUCAGUGAGAAUGGCCUUCCCUAUUUAAAACUGAAGUUCCCCUUUCUAUCACCACUAAGUGCAAAACCCCCACUUGCUAUCUCCCUGGGUCUUCGUUUCUUUACUUUGCUUACUUGUUUGCUUACUGUCCAUCUCCCCCAUUAGAAUGGCAGCUCCAUAAGGGUGGGAAUUUUUGUCUCUUUUAUUCAUAGCUAUAUCCUUGAUUUCUAGAACAGUGCUGAGACACGUUAGCUGUUCAAUUAGUACCAUUUACAGAGUGUUCAGGGGAAUGGAAAUUGGAAAUAGUCUCAAAGGCAAAGAAUUACGAUAAUUCCACCCCAUUCUGCACCCAUUAAAAAUGCUAAGUUUGAAGAUAAAGUAGCAACUAGAUAACACAAAAUAAGGCAGAGCACAAAAAUAAAAGGGAAAAAUAAAGAGACUUGUGAACCCCCAGUCUUCUAAGAAGCCUACUGAGAAGCUUAUUCAGAUGCAAAUGUAGACUAUUUCUUUUGGAAAAGAAAGGACUCAGAAAAAAAACCCCCGUGAACCAAGAGGGUGGACUCAGCAGCUGCAGAGACUCAUUCCCGGGGUGCAGGAUUAGACCUGAACCAAAGAACUGGCAAUAUGGACCUAACUAGAUUUCAGAAUUGCUACGAUGUAAUGGUAGCUAUAUCAUUCCUAUGUUUCCCCUUUUUGAACAGAAGUGUCUGCUCUGGUUAUCUUAUGUUUGUCAACUCUGUUUCUUGGGCCUAUGGAGAGCAGAUAACACGUCUGUAGCUCACAGGUCUUCUGAUCAAGAGGAACAGUAGUACUCAAGAAGCUGUUCUUGAGGAAUCAUAGCUGAAGAGCCUCAUUGCAACUGGACCUGAUUUACAUGACAAUAUCCAUUUAUGAGCCAAUGCCGUACUGGGAGGAAACUUUUGGGAUCUUUGGGAGGAGGAAGCCUUACACCUUUUGCCCAGAACUCUUGAAACAUCCAGGCAGGAGAAGCUCCUCCUCAGAAACCACCCUCCAUGCUGUGAGAAGUCCAAACCAUGUACAGGUUGACGCUCAAGCGCUGAACCACACCACCUGUGAUAAGAAGCCCUGGAAGGUUUUAAGCAGAGAGAGAACGUGUGUAUGUGAGAUGUGUCUCCCUUCACAGGUCACUUGCACCACAGUGCCUUUCCUGGACGCCAGCCUCUCUUCCCCUGUGCCCGCAGUGGGCCCCGCCACAGCCCAUGGCGCUGCGUGCGUGGUGUCUGUUUGUUCAUCUGUUCUUCAUCUAGACUGGGGCGCUCCUCAAAGACCAGUGCCUGCUUUGAUCUGUCUCAACGUCCCCCGCACCCUGUUGGGCGUUGGCAAACCUCAUCACCAUGACUGAGCAAUUCACAGGAGAGGAAAAUGUGGAAUUAUUCUCUCUGACACGGUUUUGCAUGAUUUAUAAAGUUCUCUGGGGUUUGAUAUCGAAACAUGACUGGUUUUGCUCAAGGGCUCCUCUCUUGGUAGCUUUUAUGAAUUCACUGGCUCCCUGUCCCUCCCUGCCUGCUCGCUCUCUCCUUCCUUCUUAGGACUCCCCCUGACCCCCAGCACUCAGCCUGAGUCCCUGUGUCAUUAAGAAACUUGCUCGAGCUCUCUGGACCUCAAUUUCCUCAUUCUGCAAUGGUGUUAAUAACCCAAAUUCUCUGAGUUAUUGAAAAAAUCAGAUGUGAAAGUGAUUUGGGAGUGCUCCAUCACAUGCAGGGAAAUGACUGAAGUUAUAUGUCAGUUGCUGUGAGAGAUAAAUCUCAGGUGGUGGCUUCAAGCAUUUUUCUGCUGAAUUUGGUAAAGGAAACAAAGGUUCAUUCAUUCAUUCAAGAGGGAUCAGUCCUCAGCUUCCAGGACAAACCUAGGGACUCAGAGAUAAACAAACCACAGUCUUUAUGCUACAAGAGGUCCCAGUUAUGUGCAUGUGGCUGGCGGGGUACCCACGAAAAGACAACCACACAACCCUGUAGAUUCCUCUUCCUCUUUCCACAACUCUAGCCACGGGCUGCCUUCCAGAGCCUUUCUGCACACAAGGCUGCAUUGUAGGCCUCUGUUCACAGUGACCCUUUUAGGAACAGGCACUUGACCAGCUCCAGGGCAAUCAGGGCCAGUAACUCUCAAGUCUAGGUCUUUUGGGGGGUAGAAGGAGACAGAUAUAUUGGAAGAAAAGACUUUUUCUCUAUGGAGAAAGAAUAACACAUGCCUAGAAUUUCUGGGGUACUCUUUGUCACUUUGAGGGCCAAGUGUGAAGCUAAAGACAAAACAGAGGAAAACAAAGAUGGUGAGGAAUAUGUCUUAGUGAUAAAAUUUGGGGAACUUGUAUCCAACGAUACUUGAAUCCACCAGCUUCCCUCCCUCCCCCAUUUUCCUCCACCUCAUCUCCACCCCACCUGUCUGACUUUACCACAUGCUUCAUGGAAAUUCACAGCCACGCCCGGAGGCUGGUUUCAGCAGGAGCUGCAGCAGCUUCAUGGCCCAGGCCCUAGCUGACUGGACCCACAAAGGCUUUGGCUCUCCUAGAGACUGCCCAGAAGAGUCGGGAAUACAGGCCAGAAAUGUCGGGAGUGAACAUCCCCAUGGGCAAACUCUGACCAAUGGAACUCAGGAUUCGGUGGUAGGGGAGGGAGCUGAGAGGUGCAGUUUCUGCCUUUACCUUUCUCCAAUGGACUGUUCCAUAUGGCCUUCGUGGAGACAUCCUAUGAAUCUAAAUUUGUCAGAAUUAGCAAGUAAAAAUACUCAUACUAAA